rnacentral:tRNA from 1 species
UUAGUAAAAUCCAAAAUAGAGGAAUAUCACUGUUAAUGAUAUUAUUAAGAAUUUAUCCUUUUACUAAA